ensembl:lincRNA 1700010H22Rik RIKEN cDNA 1700010H22 gene
GUGAUGUCUAUGAAUAGGUUUUCUAAAAAGAAGCUGGCAGCUUUCCAGCUCUCUUCUCAAGGACCAGUGUUUGUAAUUCCAGUGGCUAACACGUAAUUACAGUCUCAAGCUUGCUUUGAGAAAAGUGCUGGGCUUUCUUUGUGUCUGGUCUUCUCAACAGCUGUGUCAUCAGGCUGGCUGCCUACUCACCGUUUCAAACACUUCAAGAAAAUAAAAUGGAUAUCUAGUAAAAGAAAAGAAACAUGUUUCCAUGCCCUUGGAAGGAGGAGGAAUGGUCUCCAUUUUGCUCUUCAAGAAGAAAAUACUUACGAAGCCAACACAGAUGUGGGACCCACUCACACCAGUUCUGUUGUGCGUGUCCCUCUAGCUGGUGCAAGUUUCGUGCACAUGAAGUAUAUGUCCUGGGAAGACACUGGGACCCUUACUCUUCAAUGAGUGUUUUCACCAACACUGACCAGGUGCUGAUGGGAGAUAGUUUACCUUCAAAUUUUUUCAAGUUUUUUACUUUACAACAAAUAAAAAGAAAGAAUCUCUUUCUGCCCCUCAUGCUAAAGAGACUGCUCUGCAAAAAAAGAUCCCUGUUGUUUUCUAAGGAGAGACCGAAAGGAUGUGGAUUCUGACAGGAGAGAAAGUGAGCAAGAUCAUUCUAGAGCAUGGAACAUGAAUCCAGACUGUUAACACAAGGCACAGAGAAUCGACUUGAUGAAGCAUUUCUGGCAUGAGCGAGGUUCCGCAUCCAUUACCAACAGGGUUUCAUCAUCGAAAAUGUACGGUGUCGUUUCUAAUGGGAAACAUUUCCUGGCACCCGUGUGUACUCAGCUUCGGGCUCUCAUCAGAUAAAAAUGCUGUGACAAUCACAGCCUAAUUUGUCUUGAGUGUUUUGAGAGACUUAAUGAUAGUACUGCUUUUGAUCUUUGGGUGUAAAUGUAGCUUUUUAAAAAAAAAUCAUCUGGGAGUUGUUUCCUCUAUGUUUUCAGUACCACCUCAAUACAUUUUUCGGGGAU